rnacentral:lncRNA from 1 species
AGAAGAGCACCACUCAAAGUUGACUGUUCCUUGUUCAAUCAGGAUCACCCACAGGAACCCAAAGGAGUGAGCCAGGGCGAAGUGAUGGAAGUCUGUAGAGGAGAGGAAUCGCUACAUCAUAGUGAAUUCAUGCAUUCGACAUUAGUAGAUGAUAUCAAACCCUUUUCCAAAGUGGCUGCACCAAUACAUCCCCACCUUCAAAAGCACUGUAUAGAUCUACCCAAUAUACGGAAAGGCCUUAAGAAGACGAGAAAGAAUAUUCGUAGACAGCAGCAGCUUUGACCAGCAGAAAUUGCCAGUAUAAGAUCAAGGAUAAUCUAGGGGGCAGUGUGGAAAACUUGGUUGAACUCAUGUGGAUCUUUCCAGCCGAAGUAAUAUCUAAAAACAGAAACCAUCACAGGACAUAGCAUCAUCUAGGACUCACAGGAAACAUGGUUUGAGAU